ACCUGGCGACAGGGAGCGGAACCCGAAAGCCUGUCUCAGUUCGGACUGUAGGCUGCAACUCGCCUACACGAAGCUGGAAUCGCUAGUAAUCGCGGAUCAGCACGCCGCGGUGAAUACGUUCCCGGGCCUUGUACACACCGCCCGUCACACCAUGAGAGUCUGUAACACCCAAAGCCGGUGGGAUAACCUUUAUAGGAGUCAGCCGUCUAAGGUAGGACAGAUGAUUAGGGUGAAGUCGUAACAAGGUAUC
rnacentral:rRNA from 1 species